rnacentral:rRNA from 1 species
UACGUAGGUGGCAAGCGUUGUCCGGAUUUAUUGGGUUUAAAGGGUGCGUAGGCGGCUUUGUAAGUCAGUGGUGAAAUAUGGCAGCUCAACUGUCAGGGUGCCAUUGAUACUGCGGAGCUUGAGUACAGAUGAGGUAGGCGGAAUUGACGGUGUAGCGGUGAAAUGCUUAGAUAUCGUCAAGAACACCGAUAGUGAAGACAGCUUACUAGACUUCAACUGACGCUGAGGCACGAAAGUGUGGGGAUCAAACAGG